rnacentral:tRNA from 1 species
UACGGUGUAGUUCAACGGAUAGAACAUAGGUUUCCUAGACCUACAAUAUGGGUUCGAUUCCCAUCAUCGUAA